UACGUAGGUCCCAAGCGUCGUCCGGAUUUAUUGGGCGUAAAGCGAGCGCAGGUGGUUUAUUAAGUCUGGUGUAAAAGGCAGUGGCUCAACCAUUGUAUGCAUUGGAAACUGGUAGACUUGAGUGCAGGAGAGGAGAGUGGAAUUCCAUGUGUAGCGGUGAAAUGCGUAGAUAUAUGGAGGAACACCGGUGGCGAAAGCGGCUCUCUGGCCUGUAACUGACACUGAGGCUCGAAAGCGUGGGGAGCAAACAGG
rnacentral:rRNA from 1 species